rnacentral:rRNA from 1 species
AGAAUCAACGCUGGCGGCGUGCCUAACACAUGCAAGUCGAACGGGAAAGUGGAGCAAUCCAUGAGUAUAGUGGCGACCGGGUGAGUAACACGUGACUAACCUACCCUUGAGUGGGGGAUAACCUCGGGAAACCGGGGCUAAUACCGCAUAACAUCUUCAGGAUGAGAAGCUGAGGAUCAAAGGAGCAAUUCGCUUUCGGAGGGGGUCGCGGCUGAUUAGCUAGUUGGCGGGUAACGGCCCACCAAGGCUUUGAU